rnacentral:rRNA from 1 species
GAGUUUGAUCCUGGCUCAGAUUGAACGCUGGCGGCAUGCCUUACACAUGCAAGUCGAACGGCAGCAUGAUCUAGCUUGCUAGAUUGAUGGCGAGUGGCGAACGGGUGAGUAAUACAUCGGAACGUGCCCUGUAGUGGGGAGUAACUAGUCGAAAGAUUAGCUAAUACCGCAUACGACCUGAGGGUGGAAAGUAGGGGGACCGGCAAGGCCUCAUGCUAUAGGAGCGGCCGAUGUCUGAUUAGCUAGUUGGUGGGGU